rnacentral:misc_RNA from 1 species
AGAUCCUUUAGCAAAAUUCUCACACAACUUUGUCUUGAGGUUGUUCAUUGGAGGAGCCGCGCCACCAGAAUUUCCAUGUGUUCUUCCACCGCCACCUACAGGACCAAGGCUGUUGAUCAACUCCCUAACCAUGGCACUCGCCUGGGAAAUUUGUUCAAACGUGCCCUCUAACUCAAUGUUUCGGAGAUUUGCAUCUGUUUCAUGAUCACGGAUUGCCAGCUUGGCUCCUGUCUGCCUACAAAUCUGUUUAGAAUUCACUCCACCCUUCCCAAUGAUGGCUCCAGCCAGGGAAGCAUCUACACUGAUCUUUGCAGUGGCUGAUGUA